rnacentral:lncRNA from 1 species
CUAAAUAUACUAAGAAAGAGAGAAAUGGAGAAUGAAUGAUAGAUUGAGGGUAUCAUAAUCCUGAACAGAUUAUAGUUGAUUGAAGGGAAUUCUGAUUCCUAAAAAUUUAGAAAACCUUAGCCAUACUUAACACUACUCAUUUUGUAACUCUGCAGGUGAAUGAGUAUGCAUCUCUGAAAGAUGGACCCUUGUAUUCUUGGGGGGAGCUGGCUCCAGGGCCACUUUUCCUCCGUCUUGGAGGUCUCUGGUUAGUGACCUUCACAGUUCUUGGAGUUCCAAUCUCAGCUGCAAGUUUCAAUCCUGAAAGGGUAAGUCACAAUUAUUAUUUGCAAACAAAAUGGCAAGCAGAAGACCAUCUAAAUUGGAACAGAAAUUGCCUUAUCCCAUAAUAGUUCUCGAAACAAUUUUUUUAUUGUUACAAGCUUUCUAAUAAGUGAGACGAAGCUCUACUUUCAAUACUAGAUUCAUUUUUUGAUGACCAAGAACCACAAGCAGAGAAGCUAACAUGUGAAGCAUCACAUGUAUCUGAAUUACAAAAAACAUAUACACUAUAACUUCAUUAUAUGUGCAAAUUUUGCAGGAGCCAUUAAGAUUUGUGCUGGCUGCUGGAACAGGAACUCUGCUUCUUGUGUCAUUAAUCAUCCUUCGGAUUUAUCUGGUAUCUUCACCACUCGUAUUUUUUUUUUAUUCGAUAUCUUCAUCACCACUCCUACUUUUUCAUGAAGCUCAUUAUAUUCCCAGAGAAUAUGGCUAUGCUUUUGGUGUGAACAUACAUGAGAGCAGUUGCUCCAGGAAACCUUCUAUAUAUAAUCGGUUAGAAAUAACAAAACAAAUAUGAUAUUCGGACUGCAAAGUAUUAGGGGAACUUAUUUGAAGCCAACCAGGCUACAUCAUCGCCCUCUUUCAGAAAUCACAAAACUAUUUAAAUUAGUAAUUAGUAAUUCAUUUUUCUCAUUUGUGUACCUAAAAGAGGUAUUUGCCAACCUGCCAUUGAGCCAAGAAGCUGUUGUAGAGCUUCUCUACAUAUAUAAGUUUACUUACCUUAUUAGCUAGACAAAGGCCAAAUAUUGUGAUUGUACAACUUCUCCUACAUAUGGAAGUGCAAUCAUCUUUUUGACUGACUAAUACCACUUUAAGCUGUGAUGACGUUGAUCUUCUACUUCAGAGCAGACGUACAGAUGAUCUCCUUAACAGGAGACUCAGGAAAGGGGGGCGCGCAGGGAAAGUAAAUUGAAGCUUCUUUUUUUUCCCUCUUUUUUACAGUUGAGAUCAGAGUUUUGAUAACUAAUCUGAAAUUACCAAAAUUGGAUAAACUCAAACAUAAUGUAUAAAUCAACCGAAUCCUUCACCUUUCCCACACGAAUCCUUCAUGCAUGGUAUUAUUUAAGCAUCCAAAAGAGAAUUUUAAAGAAUGCUAACAAAGGGUUAAAUCCUGUACCAUAUAUUUGUUAGUUGAACUGCUUAUUCUUAAAAUUUCUAUACCUUUGUAUUAGUGAUUGCUUUUUUAAUUUUUACUCCACAAACUCAUCAUCUUGCCAUUUGGACUUUUAACAUAUCUCCACAUGUAUAUUAAAGGGAUGGAGUUAUGUUGGAGAUAGACUUCUAUCUGCGGUUGUCCCAUAUGAAGAGAGUGGAUGGUAUGAUGGACAAAUGUGGGUAAAGCCACCAGAGGUAAGCUCUCUCUUUUCUCUCUCUGCUUGCAGCAUGCAUUUUCCUGUCCCAUAAAGUUAAUAUUAAUAGGUUAUAACACAUACAAGGCAGAUAUUGCAUUACAGCAGAACAGAAAGUUAGCAUAAGUGAUGCAGAAAAAGAUAAAAACAUUAGGUAGCAAUGUCACAUGCUUUAAUGUGUAAGACCGAAAUAUAAACUCAAGUCUCCACUUUGCUGCAAUUGCACCAACUGGCAACCAAAAUGUCCUCAGCUGAUCGUCCUGAUGAGUGCUAACUCAGUCAUCUUGUCUUUAAACUGAGAUUCAAUGCUAGACAAAUAAAAUAUUCAGGAAUGUAGUACAUAAAUUCAAAGCCCACAAGAAUCUCUAUUACAAUAUUCAGGAAUGUAACUAAUUUGAUAGUCUGGAGACGGAUAGAUCUAAUGGCGGCAGUAAUUUAGCAGAACAAAUUGACAGCUAGACUCGCCAAAAGUCGAGCACAAGCAGAUAUUACUUAUUCCUGCUAGACUGGCAUCGGAAACUAAUAACUUAUCUCCCUUUCCCCCUGGCAGGUCCUAGCUCGCGAUAGAUUGUUGGGUUCUUACAAGGUAAGAAUGCAUAUGCACAAUCCAAUUCAUAGUAUUGCACAGUAAAAGAAAUGAGACAACAAAAUACUAAGCUCUGAACAAGUAAAAACAAGACAAUUCACAAAUUUGCAAUAUAACACAAGAAGAAAAGAGUUUUACAGGUGAAGACUUAAAUAGAAAAAUAUAUAUCUUAUGACAAGAAGUUAAGCAUGCAAACAUGUAGAUACAUACACAGGAAUGCAUGUGGACAUGUACAUAUGCAUGGAAGAAUGUGCAGUACUCCCAAAACCAAGCAAUCAAAUACUGUUACUAAAAAAAUAUAUACAUGUAUAUAUAUGGUAAAUGAUUCCACUUGUUCUUCUUUCCAAAGACCAAAGUAGCAUAUAAUAAAUGAUCUGACCUCCUUUAAUACAAAUGGGAUUGAUAAGGAAAAUUCUAGCCUCCAGGUUAAACCAGUCAUCUCACUGUUGAAACAAACGCUAGUCGGAACGGGUGCAUUACUUGUCACAGCAGUAUUAUUAUUU